GAAUUAUGGCGCACUCGAGCAACCAUGUCGACCAAUGUGAUUUAUGUAUGAUGUAGCUUGACGAAUCGGAAGCAAAAAAUGUUCAACUCAAAUCAACAAGGCUCAUAGAAAUGAUGUAUAUGCCUAAAAUCCUUGUCGGUUGGUUUGGGAUCACAUCAUUCUUGGGGUCAAACAUUUGAUUAUCUAUGGAGGAUGAUAUGAACUCAUACCGUGCCCCUUGGGAACUACCAGGGGAGCUGUUGGUGGUCUGGAAUCAAGGUGCUUCCACCUCUAUACUGGGGAUCCUAUCUUUGAUUAUCUAUCAUAAAUAUCAAAAAGGGUGUUUUUGUAGUUUCAUCUUUUUGUGAUUACAACCUUUAGCUCAGUUCAGUUGAACAAUAGAUGAAAAUAAUGUAAUGUUGCUGCUCUAUGUUGAGCUUCCUUAUCUGACUCUGACUUAUGAAAAUACUGUUAGUGUUCUUUUUAAA